GUUAGGGUGGCAGAGCUCGGCUAUUGCAAAAGGCCUAAGCCCUUUCAACGAAGGUUCAAAUCCUUCCCCCAACU
rnacentral:tRNA from 1 species